rnacentral:rRNA from 1 species
GACGAACGCUGGCGGCGUGCUUAACACAUGCAAGUCGAACGGAAAGGCCCUGCUUUUGUGGGGUGCUCGAGUGGCGAACGGGUGAGUAACACGUGAGUAACCUGCCCUUGACUUUGGGAUAACUUCAGGAAACUGGGGCUAAUACCGGAUAGGAGCUCCUGCUGCAUGGUGGGGGUUGGAAAGUUUCGGCGGUUGGGGAUGGACUCGCGGCUUAUCAGCUUGUUGGUGGGGUAGUGGCUUACCAAGGCUUUGACGGGUAGCCGGCCUGAGAGGGUGACCGGCCACAUUGGGACUGAGAUACGGCCCAGACUCCUACGGGAGGCAGCAGUGGGGAAUAUUGCACAAUGGGCGGAAGCCUGAUGCAGCAACGCCGCGGGCGGGAUGACGGCCUUCGGGUUGAAAACCGCUUUCGCCUGUGACGAAGCGUGAGUGACGGUAAUGGGUAAAGAAGCACCGGCUAACUACGUG